rnacentral:rRNA from 1 species
UUUAAUUUGGCGGCAUUUCAUCUAUUUAGAGGAAUUUGUCCUUUAAUCGAUAAUCCACGUUAAAUUUCACUUUAAUUAAAAAUUUAUAUACCACCAUCUUAAGAAUUAAUUUAAAAAUAUUUCUCUUAAUAAUUCAUAAAAAGUUAGGUCAAGGUAUAAUCUACAUUAAAGAAUAGAUGAAUUACAUUAAAUACUAUUUAACAAUCAUUAAUAAAUAUACUAAUAUAAAUAAGAAUUUAAAAGUAAUAUAUAAAUAAUAAUUUUAUAUGAUAAAGAUAAUAAAUGUGUACACAUCGCCC